GCAGGGCGAGGUAGCGCAUGCCUGCGGUCCCAGUUACUCGGGAGGCUGAGGUGGGAGGAUUGCUUGAGCCCAGGAAUUCUGGGCUGCAGUGUGCUAUGCUGAUUGCGUGUCUGCACUAAGUUCGGCAUCAAUAUGGUGACCUCCUGGGAGCAGAGAACCACCAGGUUGCCAAAGGUGGGGUGAAACCAGCCCAGGUCGAAAACGGAGCAGGUCAAAACUCCUGUGCUGAUCAGUGGUGGGAUCAUGCCUGUAAAUAGCCACUGCACUCCAGCCUGGGCAACAUAGUGAGACCCGGUCUCUU
ensembl:misc_RNA Metazoa_SRP Metazoan signal recognition particle RNA